ACUUUGUAGACUUGACUAACCCUUUUAAAAACUUUUUUUUGUCUGUAAAAAUGUGGUUGAUAAAAAUGCUUUACUGGCCUCCUGGGAAUGUUUUGUAAUGACUAUAAAAAGAAUGGAGUACUAAGAAAGAAAAGUGAGCUAUCAGCAGAGUUAAGAAACAUAGAAGUUCAUUCUUUACGCAUCCAGGAUUUUUCCACUCAUCAGUACACUUAUAUAAUCAGAAACUUAAACCUCAAGUAAAAUCUAAUUCUUUACAACAUUCCAGAGUUUGGAGAGUCCAUAUCAUGGAUUUGUAGUCAAACCAACAUGGUAAUUGAGAGUGAGAGAUUGGGGUAGUGAGGCCUCAAGGUCAAGAGGUCAUGAAAUCUAUCCACUCAGAGUUAUAUGAAGGAAAGGUAAUAUGGAGACGUGGUUAGACGAGGAGGAUUCACUAAAAUGUUUGCUCAAGUCAGUAACUGAAGCCAACUUAUUGGUGGCAAUUAGGUUAAAACAUUACAGUUUACUUAAUCUGAUGAAUCUCAUGAGUUGAGCAUCCAGGACUUCAGUGUAUUUAGAAAUGAAGAUUCUCUAUUGCUGGUCUGUUCCAGGAUUCCCCAGCUCCAACAUAUAUGGACAGAGAAGAUGGGCAUUUGCUGUCUGGGCUGGAGUGAGGAAAAAUGGAAGAACUGGAGGAAAAUAGCAAUAGCUGAAAAGGACUCAGUACUGAAUACAAUUUAGGCUAGGAGAUUAUUUGGCAGUCAUUUCCCUUUGCUGCUCAGAUAUUUAUUUGGAUUUCACAGUUCUCCAUGGGAACAAAAUGAAUGGUGAGAUUAAUGAAAAUCUAGGUAUCCUGUUUCUUUUUUGUGAAUAUAGUCAUAAAGCUAAUCCUUAUAGAUAAGUGCAUUCACAGACAUAUAUAAAGAAUGAAAUUAGUGUGUUUGCAUUUAUGGGCAUAUUUUCCCCUUUCAAAAACUGAGAUUUCACUAGUGUUCCCACCAGUAGGAAUUGUUUUAUACCCUGUAUUUAGCACUAGUGGAAAUGACUAAUAGAUACAACUGAUUUUUUUUUAUUGUUGUAGAAACACUUUCUACCCAGAACAAAUCAGACAUGCAUCUACAGGCUAGUAAUGGAGAGUUGCCUCAAGUACUUAAAAGUUAAGUGCAGGGCUACACAACAAGAAUCUCUCAAAAGUAGGAUUUAAACCCAACUCUUUUGGAUUCUAAGGUCUACCUUCUAUUGUACUGUGCUGCCUCUCUAUGUAUGCAUAUGAUUUAUUGUUAUACAAAUAUACCUGUGUACAUACACAGAUAUGUAGAGAGACAGAGACAUAAGGGUUGGGUAACAGAGGAGAGAAACAAAAAAAGGGACUAAGACAGGAAGAGGGAGAAGGAGAGAGGGGAGGAAAAAGAGACAGAGAGAGAGAGAGAGUAAGAGAGAGAGAAAGAGAGAGAGAGAGAGAGAGAGAGAGAGA